GCCAUCGUGGCGCAAUGGUAGCGCAUCACCUUCCUACACGUGACCGUGGGAAAGCCAGGUGGGGGUUGCGGGUUCGAUCCCCGUCGGUGGUA